ACAUUAAUGGGGACACCAGCUAAGUAACUCUUUAAACUGUUCCUAUGCUUGAUAUAAAGUCUCACUAUCCUUUUGUGUAAAAGUUGAGAUUUGCCUUUUCAAAACAU